CCUGGGUUCCUAAGCCUGUCAAGUUCCUCCCACUGAAAGAAGCCUUCCCUUUCCAUCGACAACAAUGUCCGGGUGUGGUUGUGGCGGUGGCAAUGGCGGCAACAUGACCGUCCUCUGUCUCCCCGCUGGGAACCAGGGCGGCGGCUGCUGCCAACCUUGCUGCUGCUGCCGGCCGUGCCAAAGCUGCUGCCAGACAUGCUGUUGCCCAUGCAGGAGAUGCUGUUGACGAAACGUUGACGCUCAGAACGGCCCCGAAACGACGUGGCCUUAAGCCAGCAUUGUGAGCGUCCCUGGGAAGACCAGCCCAUGGAAGAUCCGAGCUCCUCCUUCCCUGUCAAAGCUCUGCACCUGCCUCCUUUCUGUUUUCAGAUUCUUCUGUUCCCGGCUUGACUCCCUGAAAAAGUCUCUCAAGAAUUCCUACCAAGAAGAGGAGGCAUGCCUAUUAGGAUACGCAUUAAUUUCUCAUUCGUCUCAUUGGCUUCCUGGGCUUUGAAACUCUCAUGCUUUCUGGUAUUUAAAAAAUGACAACUUGCAUUGAAAGAUAAACACCGGUGGAAGAGUACCACUCCUUCAGGCUUUAUGUAGUGGUUUGGCGACAUCAUUUCUUCUCUUCCCAAUUCUUCUGGUCGUCCUUGGCAACUAUUACCCAGAAACCCUACAAUCCAGUACCUGGAGAAGACGCUGAUGCAGCGGAAGGAUUCCAUCUUACAUCAAGCACUGAUCGUUGACUCACUUUGGAAAAAAAAA